CAUACCUCUACAUAGAAGCAAUGAAGCUGCAGUAGUGUAAUAGCCAACCUGUACAAAGUUAUAUAGCAGAUUUCAGACAGUAGGGGUUACCAUGGAAACGUACCUCUACAUAGAAGCAAUGAAGCUGCAGUAGAGCAAUAGCCAACCUGUACAAAGUUAUACAGCAGAUUUCAGACAGUAGGGGUUACCAUGGAAACGUACCUCUACAUAGAAGCAAUGAAGCUGCAGUAGUGUAAUAGCCAACCUGUACAAAGUUAUACAGCAGAUUUCAGACAGUAGGGUGUGUAUGUUUACUUUUUCAUUUCUUGUGGCAACACUUUGAUUUAUUUAUUUCUCGUUUUACACAUGCCUUUCUGUAUCUAUAUACACAACAGGGUUACCAUGGAAACUUGUAUCUACAUCCCCACAAUGGUAUAAUGGAUGACGGACGUUCAGAUGUAAAAAGUUAUACAGCAAAUUUUAGAGCAUAUAGGUUGUGUAUGUUUACUUUUCAUUUCUUGUAGCGACACUUUGAUAUAUUUGUUUCUGUUUUUACACAUGCAUUUCUGUAUCUAUAUACACAAGAGGGUUACCAUGGAAACAAUCUACAUCUAGCCAUUGAUAUAAAUGGAUGACCAACGUCGACGUCUACAAUCAGCCGUGAGAGAAAUUCUGCAAAUGAUCACGUGACAUAUGCUUAGCUCCAAGACCUGUAAAUGAAUUCAGAUGUUGCAACUAUGGUGCUUGAUAUUGACAAACACGUGCACGGAUGUCAUGUUGUAGAUUUCACAGUGGUUAAGUGGAUGGUGCAGCUUGGUCCUUUUUCUAAGGCACAACGGGCCAGAGUGAAUGAAGAGCUUUGAGCAUGCACAUACAGUUUCUGGCUUUGGUGAUUGUAAAGCUCGAAUGUUUGAUGAGAAACUCAAACUAUCCGGCGAGAAGCAGUUUCCUGGAUCAUACACCACUGUUUGAUGGUCUCAAUGGAAUUCAAGGCUUGGUGGACAUGUUGUCUGUAUUUGGCUUGUCGUGCUCAUGUUCUUCCACACCUCUUGCACAAAACGGAAAAUCCUUGAUGGCCGGACAGACAAAGACUUCAGUUGGGUUUAAAAAGGCAUGAAGAUAGUGUUUUACGUUGCUGAAAGACAUAGAAAAGAACCGAUUGCAGAAAAAUAUCACCAUGCCGUACUGUGUUUGUUAUUUCCGAUAGAUGGCAGCGCAAUGCGUUCCAGGAGUCGGACAAGUGCUUUGUUCAUUAAACGGACUUUCACCUGUACACGAAAAAAAAUUAAGAUUGAUUUCAAACACACAAGAGAAAUAUAUGCAGAAGGAAGAACAAAGUAUGAUGAAUUCAUGACAAACCUUGCACAAGAUAUAAGCAUAUCACCAUCACAGCCGCCCUGACACGGGCAUAUUUAAACAAAUUAGAAAUAAGCUGACAUGUUUAUAAUCAUAUACUCAUGUACAAAGUAUAUAGGGUUAUAUUGGAGUCACGUAUGUCCAACAGUCCGUUCGUCCAUCCGUCCAUCGUGUCCGCUUUCAUAAAACUGACAUCAGUUAUUAAUCUCAUCAGGACGGUGUGCAUAGCUCACAACCCAUGUCACUAGGUCCAAAGUUAAGGUUACCUUUUGAGGUCUAAAGUCAAGUAGUUUAACUUCAUGUCCGCUCCAUAUUGUCUAAAUGGCUUGGCAGGUACUUAACUGGACUAUUCAAAGAUUAAAGAGAAUUAUUGUACUUGACUUUGCGUCGUCGUCACUGCCACCGAUGUAUUCAUGUUAAAAUUUUACGGCAAGCUUGUGUCACUAUAUAUUCUUUACUAUUUCCCCUUUUAACUUCAAACUUCACAUAAGUGUUAGUCUUGGUAAGGGACAGACAUCUGUUAUUUUAGAGUCUGGCUUCUUAAACGUCAAGGUCACUGGGUCAAACAUUAUAACAGUGCUGGUUAAAGUUUUAUGACAAACUUCUCAAUUGCACUAUAUCCUCUUAUCCACUAUCCUAUAAUCAUCAAACCUUACAUAAGGAUUGACCUUAGGAAGGGGCAAAAGUCUUUAGGUUUAAGAUCAGGUAGGUCAAAGGUCAAGGGCACUGGGUCAGAUUUUGUAAUGUUCGUUAAAGUUUUAUGCACGCUUCACAUUUGGGCUUAUAACUCAUACUGUUUCUUUGCACUGGUAUGUCCCACGCUUUUGAGUCCUACCCAUACUUUCUAUACCCCAAUCCCGACACCUACCAAAAGAUACAUUCCUCACACAAACUUAUAUUUCAUAUUCCCCUCAUUUCCGCUACCCACCUGUCUCCACCUACCCCCUUCAACCCCAUUUCACCACCUCUUGCCCAGAACAAAGAUUUAUUUUACAUUUUCUUUACAAUAAAUUAGAUUGUAAAUUGAUGGAUAUCUUGUAUAUCAUAUGUUUAUAUGAUGUUUCAGUAUCCCUUAUUCCCACACUUCUACUCCCAACCCCACUCUAAUUUUUUUCUUAUAUAUUUUUUACAUCUCUCACACAUCACAUCUCAUCCCCCAUCUCCUAUUCUACAGCAACACCCCACUCAAUGUAGAUCACUAGGUCCAAGGGCAAGGUCACACUUGAAGGUCAAAAGUCAUGGUGACAAAAUUUUACAUUCCCUUUGCAAAAGCGACGUCUGGGGGUACCAAUCACUUUAAUUGAUAGCUUUUAUUGCUCAUGUUUAAGUGACCUAAAUGUAUAGCAUUAGCUGAAUUGUAUUAUUUAUUUGUUAAAUGUAAGUUAAAUUUUAGGGUAAUUGAGGAAAUUAUAUAAUUUUAAAUUGGUGAUACAGUCGAACUAUUUUAGACAAAUCAGAUAUUUCUAGCUUAGUUUGUUACUGGUCUUGAACUAAUGUAUCUAUAGUUUUAAAGUAUCGGGUUAUAUUUAAAAAUACAUUCAUGAAGAUUUGUUAAAUUAUUUCAAAAGCAUCUCAAAUAUAAGUUAUUGUAGAACUGGACAGGGAUAGUUUUCAAAGAUAAAUAAAUAUGCGGGGAUCAGUUUAUGCACACAAAUAAAAGAAUUUGGGAUCGGAGUUUAACUUUAUUUUGUUUGUUUGUUUGUUUCAGUAUAAGGUCGAAAUACGAAUCACUCAAGACGCAACUUCUGAAAAUAUAAACUCUAGUGUUCACACGUAAAAAUAAUUCAGUUUUACAUAUAAAUUAAAGAUUUUUUUUCGUGCACAAUUUAUCAGUGUAGGUCACAUGUUACAUUACGCUUGCUCUUAUGGCAAUAAAUAUGUUGGAAAAAAUUAAAAUAGUUCUACGAGAUUGAUUUCUUUUUCAUUUUAAUAUAGCUAUUUUCUACUGAUUUUUUUUUGUUAAAAAAACUGUCAAAUUAUAUGUAGAUCUAAUUCAUAUAUAUUCUUUCGCAUUUAAUUGAUGUUGCGUGCAAGUGAACAUUGUAUUUGGAUUUCCCACUUCUAAAACUAUCAGGGUAUAAUGUGUCGUUAUGUUUCACUAAUACUCUGAAAGCUUGACGUAAAAUUCCUUACUACAAAAUGUAGAGAUAAAAUCAUAAUUGUUUUAUUCAAACACAUAUUCUACCGUCUUUUGUCUUGGGUCGUCUAUAUGUAAAUUUUAAAAGUCAUUUUGGUCUCAUUUCUUGUAUAUUAAAUUUUAGUUUGGCAUAACUCUUAACCGCAUAACUCUUAACCGACACCUUACUCCUGAGCACUAACAUUAACGCUUGGGGCUGAAAUGACUUUUAAAGCAAUUUUGUCUUUUGUAGGAACAAUGUGUUAAACGUUAAAUGUUUUAGGAACCAUGUGUAAAAAUAUGUCCUGAUCAAAUGUUUAGUAGAAUUGUGGGCAAACUUUUAGGAUUUUAGUUUGCGUUUUUAAAGGAUUACUGAAAUGUACCAUUAUGUUAUAAACAUGAUAAACUCAUUGUUUCAAACGGAGAGAAAUCCAAAUAUGAUUUUCACUGGUGUGGAACUACACUUGAACGCGAAAGGACAUGAAUGGUAAGGACUGGAAAUGCUUCAAAAAGACAAAUAUGUAUAAUAGUAAUUGCUUACAAAAUCACUAAAAUACAGUCAAAACGAUCAAAAUUUAAAAGAAAUGCACAUCUCGUAGACUUAUCAACAUAAGCAUUAUGACAGCAUAAAAUACAGAGCGACGUUACGCAACACGCAUGUCUCUGUGAGGUGGAAUUAUUAAAUAAAUUUAUAUUAACUCGACAAGAUAUAAAACAAUGCAACAUAAACUGUAAGUGAGCUUUUUAACCGACCAAUGUUGGAAUUUAAAAAAAUGUGUAAUACUGAAUUACCUUGCACUCGGAACACCAGACUAAAAUUUACUCAGUGAAAGAUGUUUCGAUCUUAUACUGAAACAAGCAAAUGCCCCCUUUCUAUAUCUUUUACAACAGAAAUAGGUAACAAACAUUAAUAUUUUGAGGAAUAAUGGUUAAAAAUAAGAUGAAUCAACCUAAGACAGAAAUUAAUAUAUUUGUUGUUAAAUAUUUUUAUAAUCCCAAGAAGAGUGCCCUUUUCACAUUUGAAAAUUUACCAUUUCGAAAUGACUUUCACAAUUUCAGUAACUGUAUUACUGUGUUUAGAUAUUUUAUGGUUUAUAAUCCUAAGAAGAGUACAUUUUCACAUUUGAAAAAUAAUUAUUUUUCUCUCUUAUAAAUCAACCAUGUCUGUCUUCUAGAUCUAUUAAUUAUAUACAUUUUAUAUUUUGUAUUGUAGUAAUGUAUAAUUUUCCUUCGCAAAGUCAGAAUUUUAAAUAUACUUGUAAGCUUACCUUUUUUCACAAGGAGUUUUACUGUUUGAUGUGAGAGCAUAGUUCAAUUCAAUGAAUUUUAGUUCAGGUAUUUAAUUUAUGAUAUAUUUUUCAGAAUUUUAACACUAAAAUUAUACUUGAAAAUGUCUUUUGUGUUAUUUAUUGUUGUUUGAAUAACGAAUAAACGCCAUUCUGUUG
rnacentral:lncRNA from 1 species